rnacentral:rRNA from 1 species
AUACGUAGGGUGCAAGCGUUAAUCGGAAUUACUGGGCGUAAAGCGUGCGCAGGCGGUUUUGUAAGACAGAGGUGAAAUCCCCGGGCUCAACCUGGGAACUGCCUUUGUGACUGCAAGGCUAGAGUACGGCAGAGGGGGAUGGAAUUCCGCGUGUAGCAGUGAAAUGCGUAGAUAUGCGGAGGAACACCGAUGGCGAAGGCAAUCCCCUGGGCCUGUACUGACGCUCAUGCACGAAAGCGUGGGAGCAAACAGGAUUAGAUACCCUGGUAGUCCACGCCCUAAACGAUGUCAACUGGUUGUUGGGUCUUCAUUGACUCAGUAACGAAGCUAACGCGUGAAGUUGACCGCCUGGGGAGUACGGCCG